AGCGCCUGGUAACAUAAUGGAGAAAUCGUGUGUGUAUUGUUUCCAGAUACAGUUUUUUGAGUCUCUCGCCUUGGAGAUGCACUGUGAGCUUUCUCUACAUCUUGCCACUCGUUUGCUCCUGGAACCAUCUCACUGUUCUCUACAGCAGGUUUAGGAUCAUCCUUGUUCAAAGCCGUAUCGUGCUCAUCAUGUGGAGCGUCAUUUCCCACACUCUGUUCUACAUCCUUCAUCACACUUUGUUCUGCAACAGUUACUUCAGGUUGUGCUUCCUCAGUAACAACAGACUUAUCUUUCUUUUGUUUUCCAUUCUUCACCGUAUGUGUAGUUUUGUUGUUAUUAGCUUCCUUUUUACCAC
rnacentral:lncRNA from 1 species